UUACAUGGUCAUGAAAUUUAAAUGGCAUCAAAUUCUGUCUGAUCUUGGAAGCUAAGCAGUUUCAGCCUUGGUUAGCACUUUGAUGGGAGACAGUCAAUGAAUACCAGAUGCUGUAGAGU
rnacentral:rRNA from 11 species